UCGGGGCCCCGAGAGUCGAGUAGAAAGAGGUGGCAUCCUCCUGCGAGGAUCAUACAUAGGCUUUGGGGAUGGAAAAAGACCUAAGAGAUGAUCCAGCUCCAUCCCCGCCCAUUCCUUCUUUUACAGAUAAAGACGCUGAGACCGGAGAGGAGAGGGAAAGAGACUUGCUUUAAGCCACACAGCUUGAAAUAGCUGAGCUGGAAUUCGAGAUCACUUCCCAAGCCCGGAGCUGGGCUCCACUCUGCUGUUUCCUGAUUUAUGCCGGGAGUACUUAGCAAUAAACAUGAAGAGAGAGACUCGCACACGCACGCGCAUAUACGUAUACAGUUAUAUACGUAAGGUUGUGUCUCUCUCCUGGUCCAGCUUCAUGCCACAAACACACACAAUUUAAUUACACAGACGAGGAAGUUGAGUCCGAAAGAGGUUAAGUAACUUCAACAGGGUCAUAAAGCAAAGAAGUGCCUGAGGCUGGAUUUGAACUCAGGUCUAAUGAUUCCAGCUCCAGCUCUCUCUCCUCUACAAUGCAUAUGCUUCUGGAAGAUGUAAAUAUGCAUCUUGAUUAUAGAUAUGACUGUGUACCUAGACUAUAUUAUAUAUUAUGAAUAUAUUAGUAUAUAAUGUCAUUAUUUAUUAUAUAAUAAUAUAAAUGAUUAGGUAUAUAUCACAUUAUUUAUUAGUAAAAUGUAUUAUUAAUAUUCAUCAUAUUUGCUUAUACAGUUUAAAACAAAAAAAUCUGUGUUGAUAUAUUUAAUAAUUUGUAUAAAAUGACACUAACAUAGUCUAUUGAUGUAGAAAAAUGUUCCUCUUAGAAUGUUUAAUUCUCUUUUGCCUACCUAUAUAAACCUAAACAUUCAUGUGUUUUCCAGCCCGUUGAAACAAUGAUUGGAGCAAAUAAAACAGGCUUCCUUUAAAGGGUAAA
rnacentral:lncRNA from 1 species